rnacentral:rRNA from 1 species
UACGUAGGGUGCGAGCGUUGUCCGGAAUUAUUGGGCGUAAAGAGCUCGUAGGCGGUGUGUCACGUCGGCCGUGAAAACCUGCAGCUCAACUGUGGGCGUGCGGUCGAUACGGGCAUCACUGGAGUUCGGCAGGGGAGACUGGAAUUCCUGGUGUAGCGGUGAAAUGCGCAGAUAUCAGGAGGAACACCGGUGGCGAAGGCGGGUCUCUGGGCCGAUACUGACGCUGAGGAGCGAAAGCGUGGGGAGCGAACAGG